CUCUUCUCAUGGAAAUGUGUCUGGUCUGCAUCUGGUGUGACAGGAUAUAUUUCAUGAAAAUUAGAUUUAGCAGAUAAGUGCACCGUGGACAAGCUGAUGUUGUCAUGAGGAUGCAUUUGGACCCUCAUAUAUAAGAGCUAUUUGUUUGGGAAAUUCCUUGUGCUAUUGGAUUAUAUUUUUUUUCCUCCCCUUCCAUAUGGAAAUGAUUAGUUUCUUUGUUGUACAGGCAGCUGAGAUACUUGCAAAGGAAGGA
rnacentral:misc_RNA from 1 species